CAAAAACAAAAAGUUCAACAACAAACUUUACUAGUGGUUCCCAUUGCUAAGCGAUGAACUUGCUCCAGAUUUAGUGAUAAACGGCUGCCAAAGCCCAGCUUCCCCGGACUUCCAGACAAACACCACUAGAUCCAUGGCAAACCGGAGACACAGAUGAACACGGCCAUUCAAACUUGCUUCUGGUAGAUAAAAUAAUGUUACUUUUGGCUCUGUCUAGUUCAUAACAGUUAACGCUUCUAAUUGCAUAGGUAACGGUCACCGGCUAAUACUGUACCUUGUGUCUUAGAAUUUUGCCCACCAGAAGUCCCUGUAAUGCAAAGAACAGCAUGCUCCAACCGUAACAAGAGGAAUGAUUAACAGCACAAUGGAUUUUAGCUAUGACAAAUCAAAGAGAAAAUUCAGCUCAUUUGUCAUGAUUUAACAAAUUGGCUCGCCAUCGGGUUUAAUACACGUCCCAACGCCUAUGGGCAGUUAGUGCUGGGAAGGAAGGACAGAGUCAGAGUUAGGAGGUGGACAGGCCAGAGGUGAGGCAGGGCCCCAAAGCACUGUGCAGUUAAAACAAGUAGGGGAAAGUUAGGCAGAGGCCGUGCAGGGCACAUUCCCGCUGGCCAUCACAACUGCUCUCACACUGGGACUGGGCACGUGAUCAGCUGGAGCCCCUCUCCAGGGGAACAGACAUUUACCAACUGCACUUUGAUCAACAGCAUGAGAGCAGAGUGGAAAAAGAAAUGGAAAGGACAUGCAGCUUGAAGGUGGAAAUUGCAAAGAAUUUCUCUGGCAUGUGACAGCUGCCAGCUCUGGGGGAGUCUGGAUCUGCAGUCUGCCCCAAUGUAGCCCUGGAACGUAGCCCCUGAGGAGCAGGGAACCACGGGGCUUCCUCAGUCAGCACCUCUGCAGCACGGUGACCCUGACAACGCCCCAGGAACAGUGCAGAGCCACUCUCCGAGAGCUGGCCCACGAGACAGGGCUCUGCUUUAUAAACUGAGCCCUUUGCCUCACUUGGUUACAAAAUGUUUGGAAUGGGAGAGCCAAGCACCUCGGGACGGGUAGCCAGGCCAGGCCGGGGCCCAUCCAGCCCAGUCUCCGACAGCGGCCAGCACCAGAUGCUUCAGAGGAGGGUGCAACCCAUUUCCCACUGCUGAAGCUUAGCUUCGGGAGAGCAGCGUGGGGUUCACCACACUUCUCAAGACUGUCGAUGUCCACAAUAGCCACGUAAACACCCGAUUCUUCUGGGAUUCCUGCUAAGCUUUUGGCCUCAAUAUUAUCUUGUGGCAAUGAGUUCCGUAGGCUCCCCACGUCCUGCUUCACUUGAUGAACCACGGGGAAGGUUUGUUCAACCAAGUGCAUGCUGAUGAUUUGAACAACUUUAAAAGUACAGCAGGGCAGUGGGGGAGCUGGGUGGAAUGGCACAGAAGAAGAGAGAUUCUACCAAUAAACAGAACAGAACAAA